GAAGGUUCUAGAGUAAACCUCUACCUCAAUAUGAUGCUGUCUUUGGGAGCCAGAAAAUCUCACCGCAUUAUGGGUGAAACCGCGUUAUAUCGAACUUGCUUUGAUCCACCGGAGUG